AAUCAACGCUGGCGGCGUGCCUCAGACAUGCAAGUCGAACGCGAAAGCCCCCUUCGGGGGGCAAGUAGAGUGGCGCACGGGUGAGUAACACGUAGGUAAUCUACCUUUGGAUGGGGAAUAACCACCGGAAACGGUGGCUAAUACCGCAUAAUGCAGCGGCACCUAAUGGUGACAGUUGUUAAAGCGGGGGAUCGUAAGACCUCGCGUCUGAAGAGGAGCCUGCGGCAGAUUAGCUAGUUGGUAAGGUAACGGCUUACCAAGGCGAUGAUCUGUAGCCGGCCUGAGAGGGCGGUCGGCCACACUGACACUGACAUACGGGUCAGACUCCUACGGGAGGCAGCAGUCGGGAAUUUUGGGCAAUGGGCGAAAGCCUGACCCAGCAACGCCGCGUGAAGGAUGAAAUCCCUCGGGAUGUAAACUUCGCAAGAACGGGAAGAAUAAGUAAGAGCUAACAUCUCUUAUGAUGACGGUACUGUUUGUAAGCUCCGGCUAACUCCGUGC
rnacentral:rRNA from 1 species